UACGGAGGGUGCGAGCGUUAAUCGGAAUUACUGGGCUUAAAGGGUGCGUAGGCGGCGCGGAAAGUAGGGUGUGAAAUCCCUCGGCUCAACCGAGGAAUUGCGCCCUAAACUACCGUGCUCGAGGGAGAUAGAGGUGAGCGGAACUUAGGGUGGAGCGGUGAAAUGCGUUGAUAUCCUAAGGAACACCGGUGGCGAAAGCGGCUCACUGGAUCUCUUCUGACGCUGAGGCACGAAAGCUAGGGUAGCGAACGGG
rnacentral:rRNA from 1 species